rnacentral:rRNA from 1 species
GCGUUUGACCUCAAAUC